rnacentral:misc_RNA from 1 species
AUGGCCAAAAUCUGCAUACCGUUGGUGUUCUUACUGUGGGACAUUGCCUUAACGCUGGCAAUGCGGGGAUACGUGCUGACAGGACCAAAGAGUCUUCUCUCCAACAGUGUCGAAACUUUUUGCGUUUCUAUUGAAGGCAGCUAUACGAUAGCCAAUUGCACUUUGGAUCUAAUGGCAAGAGAGGGUGAUGAGGUAUAUGCAUCGUCCAGUCGCCGUAUUAAAGAUCCAAAAGAUUGCAUCAAACUGCUGGUGCCCGUUACUGGCGAAUCGAUUGCUCGCUUGCGCUGGCGAAUGCGGUUUGAAAAUUUAGCCAAUUACACGGUCGACAGCAUGAAAGAAGUGGCACUAAGGCAACCCGAGACCAUCCACUUGAUUCAAACUGAUAAGGCUUGGUAUACUCCAGGCCAGCUGGUCCGCUUCAGGAUUCUUAGUCUGAAUCACAUCCUGUUUCCUAUACUAGACCUGGUUAAGCGUGUUUGGGUAGAAGAUCCAACUGGGGCAACUAUAGUCCAAUGGACGAAUUUGACCACGGCUCACGGCAUCCAUCAGUUAGAACUGCAACUGUCUGUCGAGCCUGUUCAAGGUGUAUGGAAAAUUCAAAUGGAAAGAGAAUCACACGAAAGAGGUGUUCAGUAUUUCGAAGUGCGCGAAUACGUCUUACCGAAAUUCGAAGUCAACAUCAAUGCGCCAUCGUUCAUCGCCUAUAACACGGAAAGAGAUCAAUCUGUUCAGAAAAUUCAGAUCUCCAUCUGCGCAAAGUACAGCUACGGUCAACCAGUGCGUGGCAACGUAAGAGCCAACAUUAAAGUGAAAUCCGAUUCUCGGUAUUCCCACCGACGUUAUUUUAUGACACCAAUGCCAGUCAUCGACUUCGAUAGGACUGGUGCCUUGAACGGGGACACUGGUUGCUACAUCCUCAAACUGCCAGGCGAUCAAAUUGGUAUUUCCACUUAUAGCGGAUCCAUCCAAAAGAGUCUUCAAGUCUUAGCUGUUGUAACCGAACAGGGUACUGGGAUCGAAAUGAACAGUACUUGGAGCACAGAAAUUCAACGUCAGACAAUGUCCAUCGACAUCGCGACUUGGAGCAGCAGCACCUUUAAAAGCGGUUUGCCUUACUACGGGAAAGUCAAAGUGACCACGGCUGAUAAUCAGCCAGCUGUGGGUACCGCCGUCGAAAUUUGCGCCAACCCUACGAUCGUUCGUGACGAAAAUGAGUACGACAAAAAAGAGAAAAAUCAGCAAAAGCCCAAUGGAAAGCGCCCAAGCGUCAGCGAUGCUCCAAAGUACUGCUCUCUCCGUGAAGCUGAUGCAAACGGAUUUGUCAGUUUUGAACUGCUACCUAGUGAGCCGGACAUAACUGAAUAUAAUAUCAAAGCUACGGUACCUUCUCCGAGGAGGAGCCGCCGUGCCAUAGGUCCUCAACUAGAUGUCAUUACCGAGGCCCAAUUGAAUAUUCGCAGUCUGUACUCACCCAGUAAAAACUUUAUGGUCUUUGUGCCGCCUCCAAAUUAUCCGAAAGCUGUUGCUUGUCUCUCCGUCCUUCCGAUCAAGCUCUAUUUCACUGCAGAUAAGGACAUCAACUUUAAUGUUCACUACGUGGUAAUGGCGAGGGGCGACGUGAUGCAUACAGGUGUGAAACAAGUCAAAUUCCGCGAAGAAGACAACAUCGAUUUGAGUUUGGGAGAAACGCUGCUCAACAAACGUGACAACGGUGGAUCAGAGUUGGAUUCAGACGUGGAAGCUUCCUUGAAACCCGUCGGAGAUUUGGAAUUUGAAAUUGAAAUCCUUCCGGAAUUCGCACCUAAAAUAUCUUUACUGGCCUAUUAUGUGCGCGAUGACAGGGAAAUGGUCACAGCUCACAUCGAUAUACCCAUCGAGAACUGCUUCCCAAAUCCAGUGAAAUUGUCUUGGUCAUCAACGAGAAAGCAGCCCGGUCAGAAUAUUACCAUGAAUUUAAAAGGUACAGCCGGGUCGAUUUGCGGUUAUUCCGUGGUCGAUCGCAGCGUCACCUAUGCAAGGCCGGAUUUGCAGCUGUCCGAGUCCAAAAUCUACAAUCGAUUACCUGAUCUUCACAUCCCGGCUGGUAGUAGCCCUCAGCAAGUCACACCGGACUGGAAAUAUUGCGAAAAAAAAAAUGGGGAAUCGGACUUUGACGAUCUUCGACGUCGAAAACGAUCGUAUUUCAUAGGGCAUUUCAGCGCGCAGUUCAAAGAUGCCAUGGAAGCCUUCGACAAUGCUGGAAUUCUUGUCAUGUCGGAUUUGAAUAUUGAAACUAGACCAUGUAGGGAAGUAUCGAGAAUUUUCCCUAUGUAUCUCAUGCGGCGCGGAGGAAUGGACCCAAGAUUUAAAAGCGCACGGGUGAGUGCAGAAUCCAUGCCAGCCGAGUCCAGGACAUUUUUUAGUGCGACGGAAGAUGUGAAUUCGUAUGACAGCGUGGUCGACUUGCAAUCGGCUGUUAGUGUCCGUUCCUACUUUCCCGAGACCUGGCUUUGGGAUUUGGUUACUCUUAAUUCCAAAGGAGAAUUUGGCAAAGCAGUCACCCUUCCUCACACGAUCACCACAUGGGUGGGACGGGCACUGUGUGUCUCAGAGUCGCACGGUUUCGGCAUGACCGCGGCCGUAGAUAUCGAAGCCUUCCAACCCUUUUUUGUUGAGGUCCACUUGCCGUACUCGGUGAAAAGGACUGAGAAACUGCAGCUCAAAAUCUCCGUAUUUAACUACGCACCUCAUUCGCUGCCUAUUCGACUGACGCUGGCCUAUUCGGAGCAAUUCGAAUUGAUAAGCGACUCCGAUUCGACGUUGUUGUGUGUUCCAGCCAGAAACAAUGUCGUCCAUCAUUUUGUUAUCCACGCCAUCGAGAUCGGCAAGCACAACGUUUCUGUAUCUGCCACGAUUGACGACAAUUUUCCAGGGGAAUGCGGACCAGAAAUUCUACCGAGUGCCAGCGAUAACGUGAUUAAGGAAUUGCUGGUAAUACCAGAGGGUUUCCCCGUUGAACGAAUUUAUUCUCACAUGGCUUGCCCCAAAGAUUUUGACGAGGAUAAGGCCCUCAUCUGGGAUCUGUCUUUACCCGAAGACCUGGUUGAAGGAUCGGCUAGGGCUUGGGUCACUGCCGUUGGUGAUCUUAUGGGACCUGCAUUACAAGGUUUGUCGGGUCUCGUUCGUUUUCCAACGGGAUGUGGCGAACAAAACAUGAUCCUUUUCACUCCGAAUAUUUACGUCACCCAGUAUUUGGAGGCUACCAAUCAACUGGAGCCUGCAUUUAAAGCUAAAGCCGUGAAUUUCAUGAAAAGCGGCUACCAACGGGAAUUAACAUACCGACAUCAUGAUGGCUCUUAUUCGGCUUUUGGUAAAAACGAUCCACAAGGCUCUUUAUGGCUGACUGCUUUCGUUGUCAAAUCGUUUGCUGCCUCACGCCGUUACAUUCACAUCGAUGACAAUGAACUUCAAACGUCCGUCAGGUGGCUCCAGUCGAAGCAGUUGGAAAACGGAUGUUUUCCAGUUGUUGGCACUGUUCUUCAUGCCGAUUUGAAGGGCGGAUUGGCGGAAAGUGAAGAAAAUUUAGCUCCAUUGACAGCCUUCACAUUAAUAUCACUCUUGGAAAUGCACUCCGAGGACAGCAAAACGACGGAAAGAAAAAAGACGAUGUUGACUGUCAAAAAGUUAUUGGACAAUACAUUACCUUGUCUGGAAUCCGAAGAGUCUGAGAUGACCGAUGUCUACACCAGAGCGUUAACCGCCUACGCCUUAACAUUGGCAGAUCGGUCUGAAUCCGCUCGACGUCACAUCGACUGGCUAAUGGCUCACGCGCAAAACAACAAUUCGCUACUUUGGUGGCAAAAGUCUGGAAGUGGCCCUGCCCUGAAUGUUGAGAUGACAUCGUACGUCUUGCUAAGCUUGGUGAAACUUGGCACUAACCAAGACUUAUUGCAGGCCCGCUCCAUCGUCCGUUGGCUGUCCAAGCAGCGCAAUAGCGAAGGAGGAUUUGUUUCAACUCAAGACACAGUUGUCGCCCUACAGGCUAUCGCGGCAUACGCUUCGGUUAUCGGGGCGCAAUCAGUUGAUAUGGAGAUACUCGUCACUGCUGGCGUUUACGAAAAUUAUGUCCGCAUUCGUGAACUUGAUCGUCUCGUGCAGCGCCGAAUCGAUCUUCCAUCGCCAUUGGCGACAGAAGUUCACAUUGACACUGUCGGUGAGGGUAGCGGUUGUGCGGUUCUCCAGGCUACGCUUCGCUACAACGUUCGAACGGCACCACCAGCCGCAUUGUUUCACCUGAACGUGAGCACAGCGCAGGAGACUGGUGGAGGAGGAGAGAAAUGUCGGCACCAGUUGGUCGUUUGCAGCCGAUAUCUCGGAUCUAAAAAUCAAGAAUCGAACAUGGCGCUGAUCGAGAUCGGAUUUGUUUCCGGCUAUGAAGUUGAUAAAGUGUCGCUCAAUGUACGAGACAUCAAAACACAGAUAAGAGUGUAUUUGUCAGGGGAUGAAGGCGCAGAUCGCCAAAACUGCGACACAUUAAAAAAACACACUGCCUGGAGUGAAGCGUCACGACGUUACGGGAGAUACGGUGGUUCUCUAUUUCGACCAAAUUACUUCGCAGACAGAUGUGUGCGUUUCGCUAGUCGCUCAACACGUCUACCAGGUCGACGAUGCCAAGGAGGCCAACGUCAAGAUUUAUGAUUAUUAUCAACCUGAACAUAGCAAAAUCGUCUCCUACAAUUUACCGAACGGAUGUUCUUUGUCGGAAGUAAAGCCAAUGGUAGCAGUGCCUUUGGCAGACGCUAUGACACUCUCAUUGCCUCGCCCGCUACUUGUGUCU